UAAUUAGGAAGAAUAAGACAUUCCCUGUACUAUUUAAAGGGCAGCCUAUGAAUAAAAAAAGAGGAGAAUUAUUUUUACCAAAAGGUUUGAGUCCUUGCAGCUCAGAUCUAGCAUUCUCUCUAUCGACUUCUAUUUAUUUCACCAUAGGUCAAAAAAAAAAAACAAGGAGCUAAAGCUCUUAAUCCUUUAUGCUAACUGCAAGUCCAUAGACCCAUAACUUCAUCUCAUACUUGGGAAUGUGUCAUUUCUAGUGAAUUGCUUAUUUGAAUGGUGGUCUGCAAGUAGAUGGGAAUUAUAGGCAGUGUUGGCAUUUUGAUGCAUUGUUGCAUGCUGAGUCUUUAGAAUUCAUUCUUUCUUACAAUACUUAACUGGAUAUUUGUAUCAUUCGAAGUGGGGAUUUAAUCAACUGAUAAGCUUGUUGUUUCUUAUCACAGGUA
rnacentral:misc_RNA from 1 species